rnacentral:rRNA from 1 species
UCGGGAAUUUUGGGCAAUGGGGGAAACCCUGACCCAGCAACGCCGCGUGAAGGAUGAAGUAUUUCGGUAUGUAAACUUCGAAAGAAUAGGAAGAAUAAAUGACGGUACUAUUUAUAAGGUCCGGCUAACUACGUGCCAGCAGCCGCGGUAAUACGUAGGGACCAAGCGUUGUUCGGAUUUACUGGGCGUAAAGGGCGCGUAGGCGGCAUGACAAGUCACUUGUGAAAUCUCUGGGCUUAACCCAGAACGGCCAAGUGAUACUGUCGCGCUAGAGUGCAGAAGGGGCAAUCGGAAUUCUUGGUGUAGCGGUGAAAUGCGUAGAUAUCAAGAGGAACACCUGAGGUGAAGACGGGUUGCUGGGCUGACACUGACGCUGAGACGCGAAAGCGUGGGGAGCAAACAGGAUUAGAUACCCACGUAGUCCCUGAGCGGGCUGGCAAGGCGCAU